ensembl:lncRNA
GGAGACCAGAUGGAAAAGAAGCAAGGCCAGGAACAUUGGAGGUGGAUUCAAACUGUUCUAUCAUGGUGUAGAGAGGAAGAGAAAUGGAGUAGGGAUAAUCCUAAAGGAACAGCUUGGGAAAAGUGUUCUGGAUGUAAAGAGAGUGUCAGGCAGGAUCAUGAGCCUGAAGUUGGAGGUUGAUGGUGUGAUUUUGACUGUGGUCAGUUCAUAUGCACCACAGGUUGGCUGUCAGUUAGAGGAGAAAGAGGAAUUUUGUAGUAAGAUGGAUGAAGUGAUAGAUGGUGUCCCUAGAGAGGAGAGAUUGGUGAUUGGUGCAGACUUCAAUGGACAUGUUGGUGAAGGGAACAGAGGGGAUGAAGAGGUGCUGGGUAUGUAUGGUGUGAAAGACAGAAAUGCAGAAGGUCAGAUGGUUGUAGAUUUUGCAGAGAGAAUGGAAACGGCUGUGGUGAACACGUAUUUUCAGAAGAGGGAAGAACACAGGGUGACAUACAAGAGUGGAGGGAGGUGCACACAGGUGGAUUAUAUCCUUAGCAGGAGAUGCCACCUAAAGGAGAUUGGAGACUGUAAAGUGGUACCAGGGGAAAGUGCAGCAAGGCAGCAUAGGGUGGUUGUCUGUAGAAUGAGAUUAGAAACAAAGAAGAGGAAGAGAGUGAAGACAGAGCCAAAGACUAGAUGGUGGAAGCUGAAGGAGGAGGAUGGUUGCAGGCAGUUCAGGGAGAAAUUGCAACAGGCCCUUGGGGGCAGUGAGGAGCUACCUGAGGACUGGGAAACUACAGCUAAGGUGGUGAGAAAAACUGGCAGGAAUGUGUUGGGUGUUUCGUCUGGUCAGAGGAAAGAAGACAAGGAAAGUUGGUGGUGGACUGAGGAGGUCCAGGAGAGUAUUCAGAAGAAGAAGGCAGCUAAGAAAAAGUGGGAUAACCAGAGAGAUGAAGGAAGUAGGCAGGAGUGCUGUGAGGCUGGUCGCAUAGUGAAAAGAAUGGUGGCAAAGGCAAAGGCUCAGGCCUGUGAUGAGCUGUAUGAGAGGCUGGACAGUAAAGAAGGAGUAAAGGACUUGUAUCGUUUGGCUAAACAGAGAGAUAGAGCUGGAAAGGAUGUACAGCAGGUUAGGCUGAUAAAGGAUAGAGAGGGAAAUGUACUAGUGAGUGAACAGAGAGUGUUGAGUAGAUGGAAGGAGGACUUUGAAGAACUAAUGAAUGAGGAAAACGAGAGAGAGAGGAGGACAACGGGGGGAGAGAUAGUGGAUCAGGAAGUGCAGAGAAUUAGUAAGGUGGAAGUGAGGGCAGCUUUAAAAAGGAUGAAGAAUGGAAAGGCAGUUGGUCCAGAUGACAUACCUGUGGAGGUAUGGAGAUGUUUAGGAGAGAAGGCAGUGGACUUUUUAACCAGGUUGUUUAACAAAAUCCUGAAGAGUGAGAGGAUGCCUGAUGAGUGGAGAAGCAGUGUACUGGUCCCCAUUUUUAAGAACAAGGGUGAUGUGCAGAGCUGCAGUAACUACAGAGGUAUAAAGUUGAUGAGCCACACCAUGAAGGUAUGGGAAAGAGUUGUUGAAGCAAGGCUGAGGCGAGAGGUUCAGAUCAGUGAGCAGCAGUUUGGUUUCAUGCCCAGAAAGAGCACCACAGAUGCAGUUUUUGCGUUGAGAGUGUUGGUAGAGAAGUACAGAGAAGGUCAGAAGGAGCUGCAUUGUGUCUUUGUGGAUCUAGAGAAGGCAGAUGAUAGGGUGCCAAGAGAGGCAAGGCAAGGCAAGGCAAGUUUAUUUAUAUAGCACCUUUCAUACACAACGGUCAUUCAAAGUGCUUUACAAAUGAAAAAAUAGAGAAAAAUGCAAUUAAUGUAAAUAAAAUAAAAUUUAUGUAAAUUAAUUAAAACAAUAGAUUUAAAAGAAGUAAUC